GGUCCAUUGGGGCGGCCUACCAUGCAAGUCGAGCGGAUGACGGGAGCUUGCUCCUUGAUUCAGCGGCGGACGGGUGAGUAAUGCCUAGGAAUCUGCCUGGUAGUGGGGGACAACGUUUCGAAAGGAACGCUAAUACCGCAUACGUCCUACGGGAGAAAGCAGGGGACCUUCGGGCCUUGCGCUAUCAGAUGAGCCUAGGUCGGAUUAGCUAGUUGGUGGGGUAAUGGCUCACCAAGGCGACGAUCCGUAACUGGUCUGAGAGGAUGAUCAUUCACACUGGAACUGAGACACGGUCC
rnacentral:rRNA from 1 species